rnacentral:rRNA from 1 species
GAUGAACGCUGGCGGCGUGCCUAAUACAUGUAAGUCGAGCGAACGGACGAGAAGUUUGCUUCUCUGAUGUUAGCGGCGGACGGGUGAGUAACACGUGGAUAACCUUCCUAUAAGCCUGGGAUAACUUCGGGUCACCGGCGCUAAUACCGGAUUAUAUUUUGAACCGCAUGGUUCAAAAGUGAAAGACGGUCUUGCUGUCACUUAUAGAUGGACACACGCUGCAUUAGCAAGUUGGUAAGGUAACGGCUUACCAAGGCAACGAUGCAUAGCCGACCUGAGAGAGUGAUCAGCCACACUGGAUGUUAGACACGGUCCAUACUCCUACGAGAGGCAGCAGUAGGGAAUCUUCCGCAAUGGGCGAAAGCCUGACGGAGCAACGCCGCGUGAGUGAUGAAGGUCUUCGGAUCGUAAAACUCUGUUAUUAGGGAAGAACAGAUGUGUAAGUAACUGUGCACAUCAUGACGGUACCUAAUCAGAAAGCCACGGCUAACUACGUG